rnacentral:rRNA from 1 species
CAAUACUCCCGCCGGCGACCGGCGCACGGGUGAGUAACACGUAUGAAACCUGCCCGUAGCAGGGGGAUAAGCGGAAGAAAUUCCGUCUAAUACCGCGUAACAACCCGAGGAGGCAUCUCCUCGGGUUUAAAGGAAGCGAUUCCGGCUACGGAUGGUCAUGCGUCGCAUUAGCUAGUUGGCGGGGUAACGGCCCACCAAGGCGACGAUGCGUAGGGGUUCUGAGAGGAAGGUCCCCCACACUGGUACUGAGACACGGUCCAAACUCCUACGGGAGGCAGCAG